UUGGGCUGGUUUCAUGGGGCAGCCAUGCACUGCCCAUCCCCAUCCUGGGCGGAGGGGAAGGAGGGGGAGAUGGAGAUGUGGCAAAACCACAUCAUGUUCUCGGUGUUUCCUCAGCUGGUAAACCACCAUGGAAACUGAGGAGGGAGCAGGAUGCAAGGACACCUUGACAAGAAGCUUCUGGGAGGUGAAGAGGUCUCAUCAGCUCAACACAGCCAGCAUGUGACGGGAAAACUUCAGAGAAAAAUGGAUUUAAUAAAGCAAAUACAGUUUCAGUGGAUGGUCUCACUACAGCAGUACUGACACAUCUUUUUCAUGCAUGAAAGAACUGCACGUUUGUAUUCAGUGAGGACUGCAAAAAUGAAGAUCAAGGAAUGUGUAGCCCUUAUCUACCUAUAAGGAGAAACCACAGGCAGUGGUGAGUUGUGAGGUAGGACUGGAGUCCAUGACCAGAGCCAGCAAGAGGGGAGCUGAAGCCUCCUGUACUUCCAAGGAAAUCUCUGCAUUAGCACAUUAUAUCUUUAGUCUCUUAGUCAGAGUAUAUGUUCAAGGUCUGGAAUUUUCCCCAGGUUUCUCCUUUAGUCUCCGGGAGGCCAGGACUUUCUUCUUGCUGCAAACCACUGGAUGAUACCAUUCGUUACAACACUUGCUCGCCUGGUGGGCUGUGAACCUGUGGGGUGCUCUGAAGGGAAAGGGCGGCUGAGUGACAGCUGCUCCCUGGGGAGAGAGAGGAGGAGGGAGAGAUCUGGGGUGGGCUAAAACGAGAAGUCCAACAAGACGUACCAUGUUGUUUUGCUGCACACGGACACACACGUUUUACCUGGUAUCAAAAUGCACAAUUUGGAUGGCUCCUUCACCAGAGGAAAGAGGUUGAAUAUGGAAAUGAAACGAUCACAAGGAGGCUUAAAAGAAUAAGUGGACUGACAGUCUUCAGACAACUUGUUUUUAGGUCUAUCUUGGCACAUGAUAAAGGACAGGCGUAGUGACACCUGACGUUUCAGAUUUUUGGGAGAGCCCCACAUGACAUAAAGUGUGUGUCUUCAGUGAAAAGCAAACCGUUGCUGGUGCUCUCAGGCCCUAAAGAAAAGCAACAUGGAAGAAGAAAGAAAGAGAAACCUCGACCUUGCUGGUUCUUCCCAGCGAUCUGUUGCUCCAGCAACUGAAAGUCAAACAAUGAUGUCAAGAAGAAGGAGCUGGCCACUUCAAACCCUGCGUCCAGUUGCCACAGCAACUAGGUUUUAAAGAGCCUUCCACGUGGAGCUGGUGCCAAACGGAGCUGGGACAUGAGAAGCAACCUUAGUCCAUGGUCCCUUCUUGGAAAGAUCUCGCUAAACCAACCAGCCUCACUGCAGACCUCCUAAGGAGCCGCUUAUCCCGGCAUGCCUGCAAGGAACGACGUGAUUAACUCUUCCACUGAUUCAUUCUUAUCCAUUUAUCUAAUACAAACCAUUUCUUACUCCAUUAGGCCCUUGCCCUCACUGAGUAAUCCCCAGUUGUAUCAUGCUUUGGAAUUAGUCUGUAAGGUCCUCAGGGCAGGGAUCAUGCCUUGGAAGGUGCCUCACAGACUUUAGGCCAUUGCUAAAUUAAUAAGAAUGUAAUAAAAGUAUUAGAGAGCUCUACCAAGGGAGGCAUUGUUAUGCCCCAGAGGCAGCAUAUCUGGUUAACAACCCUGAAAAGAAAUGCCAACAACAUUAGCCUCUGCCCCUACAUCCCUCUGCCUAAUGUAAAAUUAAAUAGCUACAAAUUACCUAUCUAUUUUUCUAUCUGCCUAGGCAAUUAGCCCACGCUCAUUACUGGACAUAUGGGGAUACAUCCAAGCAUGCAGACACUCAUCGAGACGGGAGGCGCAACACACAACAUGGCACGAGUGGAUUCUCCCAGGCCUCUGCCCCACUGUAAAAUAUACCAUCAAACCCACAAUACACUGGACCAUCAGUGGAGGUCAGAAAAAACCUGCAAAAUCCAGCAAGAAAGGUGUCCAAAGAGUGAACCAAGAGCCAAUGGUGGCAAACAGGCUGUGGAAGUGCCAUCAAGAGUGCAGGACAGAGAGGAGCAGCCAGGGAUGUUUAUUCAUAUGGGAAAGACAAACACCAAACUAUAAGCAAAUGUGGCUCAGUGCAUUUAUGUGCAAUUAAAGCUCGUGCAUGCAUCUCCAUGAAUAUGAGGUGCACCCUACUGAUUAGCGAGCCUGUCGCCAAUGGUGCAUCAUGGAGAAUAAAUCCACAGAAUUCCAGCAAUGGGACAUCUAAGCAUCAAGUCAAAUAUCCUGGAAGAAAAUUCAGCCCGAGGUUCUCUGGUCAGCAACAGUGAACAGGACCCCCCUUAUGCUCUGGCACAGAUGUGGGUUGAUUUGGCCACGGCGGCAGCAGCCCCCCACACCAUCACUGCAUUAAGGGAAGAAUGCUGUCUCAAAUGCACUUUAAUCCAGUUAAGUUCAAGCCCUCCGUUUUGCAGUUUGACAGUAAUGCUAUAUUUUUAUUCAGCACAGGAUCAGAGGUCUGAUGAAACCUCAUGUUGCCAACAUAAAAGUGGAAGGAGCUUUAGCUAAUCCCAAGGAAAAUGAAGUCCACUUCUUUUUCCCCGCACCCCUCCUGAAAAGAAAGAAAAUGCAAACCCCACAUUUGACUCUCUUGGAAGAGAAAAUUCCCUGCUGUCCUCAGAUGGUUAAAACAUGCAGCUUUAGUGGGCUGCAUAAGGAAUAGUAAUUACAUACCCUUCACCUCUUGCCAGCUUGGUGGGUUUUUUUUGGUGAGGGUUUGUUCUACAUCUUUCAGCUGGUUUGGAUUUUUUUUUUCCAGUCUUUCUUCUGGGGGAAACAAUCUCACCCUCCAUGAGAAAAGGGCGGUUCAGGGGGAAGAAAACAGAAGGGAGUUCACAGUCUGCUUCCAUGUCACAUAAAAAAAAAAAAAAAAAAAAAAAAAAAAAAAAAAAAAGAGAGAGAGAGAGACGGAGAGAAAGGCCAGGUCUGCAGUGGAGUUAGCCUGGCUGCACUAAAGGAGCAGGUGUUGUGCUGUGUUAAUUUAUCUGGGAGGAGACCUGAGCAAAUCCCUGCAGCCCUGCUGAGAAAAAAAGCUUUGUAUGCUGACACAAAGCCCUCCUCGCUGCAGCAUUUCUCUUGCUGUCUUCUCUUCCAUUCUCUUCAGCUUCUCCUAAUUGCAGGGCUAAUGUCCUCUGACAAGUGCCUCAGAUGGCCCAACAACAGCCCUACCACCCACCCUCCCUGCCCCACUCCCCAUCCCUGAUUAGCACCGGUCUAUGCAAAGCCCAGGCUGCUCUUGAUUACUCUCUAGCACAACCAUGUCUGCUGAAGAACUGCAAAAUACUUCCUCCACCAUGCUGAGGACACAACUGCUUGGCCGUUAUGACAUUUCUGCCAUGUCUGGCACAAGGAACAGGGCAAACGGGGCUCCAAAGAUUCCUCAUUUUAGGCUGCAAACCCAGGACCCACAUCAAAGCCAGCCACUUGUCUGAUGUUUGCUUGGAAUGAUGGUGUCUGAGGGAGGGGGCCUAUCUGCCUCCCAUACCAUGAAUAUGUGCAUUAUUGGCAUAGCCUCCAGCCACGCCACAAGCUGAUUGUCAAUUAAAAUGUGGAUCUGGAGAGCAGCAAGCCUAGGCAAGUAAAGGUGGGAAGCAAGGUUAUUUAUGAAACGAUUAAAAUAGGUGGAUGGUCUUCAUAUGAGGUAGAAGAACAACAAUCCAACAAAGUCUUCUGUUGACAAUCAGAAAGGGUCCAGGUUCCACAAGCAUCGUCCUAGCGUUUCUCACUCCUAAAUACAUGCCCAGGCACUGGCACUUCCCUGGAAUCCCAGGCUUUUACAGAGAACUCACCAUUUCCACCGGGGCCACAGCAUCCACCCUUGCUGCUGGCCACUUAUCCGAAGUCCAGCAUGUAGAGCAAAUAUCUCCAGUGGCUCUACUGUGCUUUGGAGCUUCUCUUCUAUUAGUAAGACUUUCCUCUGGGAAGAGAGGCCAGCAUGGCAGAGGAAAGGAAGCCAGCACCUUCAAUAGCUGACUUUCCCAAUGGCAUGAUGUGCUAAACCUCCCCUACUGCCCAUACCAUUGCUAGCACCAUAGCAAGGCGGAUGCACUGGGAUGAGAGAAGGAACAGGCUCUUGCCCUUGCUACCAACAGCUGCAGAAGGUGCACGCAGGGCUGCUUGGACAACCUCAGAUCCACAUCAGCCAGAGCAACCCCUGCGUGGGU